rnacentral:rRNA from 1 species
UUCUAACCUAAACGAUGCCAGCUAGCGAUCCGCCAAAGUUCCUCCGAUGACUUGGUGGGCAGCUUCCGGGAAACCAAAGCAUUUGGGUUCCGGGGGAAGUAUGGUUGCAAAGCUGAAACUUAAAGGAAUUGACGGAAGGGCACCACCAGGAGUGGAGCCUGCGGCUUAAUUUGACUCAACACGGGAAACCUCACCAGGCCCGGACACCGGAAGGAUUGACAGAUUGAGAGCUCUUUCUUGAUUCGGUGGGUGGUGGUGCAUGGCCGUUCUUAGUUGGUGGAGCGAUUUGUCUGGUUAAUUCCGAUAACGAACGAGACUCUAGCCUACUAAAUAGACGUACUUUAUUACCGGCAUCUCAAGGCCCAUCGGCUGUAUUGUUACUGAAUGUUAUUUGUAUAUUUUGUUGAUAUAUAUUUAUAAAUAUGUAUGAUUUGGUAAUAUAUAUUUUAUUAUAA